ACAUGCAUACAUCAUAGAGUUAAUGCACUGGAUCCCAUUAGAACUCCACAGUUAAGAGCACUUGGGCUAGAGUAGUACUAGGAUGGGUGACUUCUCGAUAAGUCCUAGUAUUUUAAAUGUC
rnacentral:rRNA from 1 species